rnacentral:rRNA from 14 species
CCCAGACCAUCAGCUAAGGUCCCUAAAUAUAUACUAAGUUGAACUAACGAGGUUCGAUUGCUUUGACAGCUAGGAUGUUGGCUUGGAAGCAGCCAUUCAUUUAAAGAGUGCGUAACAGCUCACUAGUCGAGCGGUCCGGCAUGGAUAAUAAUCGGGCAUAAGCAUAUUACCGAAGCUAUGGGAUAUUUAUAUCGGUAGGGGAGCAUUCCAGCGGUGUUGAAGGUGUGACGUGAGUCAUGCUGGAACUUCUGGAAAAGAAAAUGUAGGCAUAAGUAACGAUAAUGCGGGCGAGAAACCCGCACACCGAAAGACCAAGGUUUCCUCAGCUAUGCUAAUCAGCUGAGGGUUAGUCGGGGCCUAACGCGAACCCGAAAGGGGUAGUGGAUGGACAACCAGUUAAUAUUCUGGUACCUGCCCGCGCUAAAAGUGACGGAGGCGAGAAUUAGGUGCGUACUGACGGAAUAGUACGUUGAAGCCAGUGGUAACACGGCGAUAGUACACUAAGGCUACGGCCGCGGUGAUAAUCCUAAGUAUCGACUUCCAAGAAAAACAAGCGAGGCAGCCCGUACCGUAAACCGACACAGGUGGUUGGGAUGAGAAUUCUAAGGUGCUCGAGAGAUUCAUGGCUAAGGAACUAGGCAAAAUCGACCCGUAACUUCGGGAGAAGGGUCGCCCCCAGCAAUGGGGGCCGCAGUGAAGAGGUCCAGGCGACUGUUUAUCAAAAACACAGGGCUCUGCUAAAUCGAAAGAUGAUGUAUAGGGCCUGACACCUGCCCGGUGCUGGAAGGUUAAGAGGAGAUGUUAGCUCACGCGAAGCAUUGAAUUGAAGCCCCAGUAAACGGCGGCCGUAACUAUAACGGUCCUAAGGUAGCGAAAUUC